rnacentral:rRNA from 2 species
UAGAGUUUUGAUCCUGGCUCAGGAUGAACGCUGGCGGCGUGCCUAAUACAUGCAAGUCGAGCGAACAGAUGAGAAGCUUGCUUCUCUGAUGUUAGCGGCGGACGGGUGAGUAACACGUGGGUAACCUACCUAUAAGACUGGGAUAACUCCGGGAAACCGGGGCUAAUACCGGAUAAUAUAUUGAACCGCAUGGUUCAAUGUUGAAAGACGGUUUCGGCUGUCACUUAUAGAUGGACCCGCGCCGUAUUAGCUAGUUGGUAAGGUAACGGCUUACCAAGGCAACGAUACGUAGCCGACCUGAGAGGGUGAUCGGCCACACUGGAACUGAGACACGGUCCAGACUCCUACGGGAGGCAGCAGUAGGGAAUCUUCCGCAAUGGGCGAAAGCCUGACGGAGCAACGCCGCGUGAGUGAUGAAGGUCUUAGGAUCGUAAAACUCUGUUGUUAGGGAAGAACAAAUUUGUUAGUAACUGAACAAGUCUUGACGGUACCUAACCAGAAAGCCACGGCUAACNAC